ACGGAAGGCAGCAGUGGGGAAUGUUGCACAAUGGGGGGAACCCUGAUGCAGCAACGCCACGUGUGGGAAGAAGCAUUUCGGUGUGUAAACCACUGUCGUGAGGGAAUAAUGCUCGGUCUCGGCCGAGUUGAAUGUACCUCGAAAGGAAGCACCGGCAAACUUCGUGCCAGCAGCCGCGGUAAUACGAGGGGUGCAAGCGUUGUUCGGAAUCACUGGGCGUAAAGGGAGCGUAGGCGGAGACGCAAGCAGUCUGUACAAUGCCGGGGCCCAACCCCGGACCUGCAGACUGGACUGUGUCUCUUGGAUAGUGCAGGGGCAGGCGGAAUUCCUGGUGUAGCGGUGGAAUGCGUAGAGAUCAGGAAGAACACCGAUGGCGAAGGCAGCCUGCUGGGGACUCAUCGACGCUGAGGCUCGAAAGUGCGGGUAGCAAACAGGAUUAGAUACCCUGGUA
rnacentral:rRNA from 1 species